ACGCUGAGGAGCGAGAGCGUGGGUAGCAAACAGGAUUAGAUACCCUGGUAGUCCACGCCGUAAACGAUGGGCACUAGGUGUGGGUCUCUAACCAACGAGAUCUGCGCCGUCGCUAACGCAUUAAGUGCCCCGCCUGGGGAGUACGGUCGCAAGACUAAAACUCAAAGGAAUUGACGGGGGCCCGCACAAGCAGCGGAGCGUGUUGCUUAAUUCGAUGCUACGCGAAGAACCUUACCUAGGUUAAAUCAUUGGGAAAAGCCACAGAGAUGUGGUGUCCUUCGGGGCUCAAUGAAGGUGGUGCAUGGCUGUCGUCAGCUCGUGUCGUGAGAUGUUGGGUUAAGUCCCGCAACGAGCGCAACCCUCAUCCUAUGUUGCCAGCGCGUAAUGGCGGGGACUCGUAGGAGACUGCCGGGGUCAACUCGGAGGAAGGUGGGGAUGACGUCAAGUCAUCAUGCCCCUUAUGUCUAGGGCUGCAAACACGCUACAAUGGCCGGUACAAAGGGCUGCGAAACCGCGAGGUUUAGCGAAUCCCAUAAAGCCGGUCUCAGUUCGGAUUGGAGGCUGCAACUCGCCUCCAUGAAGCUGGAGUUGCUAGUAAUCCCGGAUCAGCACGCCGGGGUGAAUACGUUCCCGGGCCUUGUACACACCGCCCGUCACACCACGAAAGUCGGCAACACCCGAAGCCGGUGGCCUAACCGUAAGGAA
rnacentral:rRNA from 1 species